GGGGGUAAAAGGCUCAGUAGGAAGUGAGGGACUUAGGGGAUAAACUUUUGUUAAUUUUUUCUGCAAUAUUUGUCAUGUCUUCCAGGGUUUUUAUGCAAUAUUUAUGACAGUCUUUAAUUUGUACUAGUUUUAACUUUAAGUUUGUUUUGAGUAAAUUUUGCUGCACCCUUUUUAUUAAUUUUAUUUGUUCACUUUUCCUGAUUUGUUCUAAAUUUAGUAUUUUAGUUUUUUUAUAUUUAUAAAUUUAUCUUGCACUCUUUGUAUUUUGUUUAACAGAUAUUUAGGUGCAAACAACUUUCAAGUAUCUAAGAUGGGGUUGAACAAAACAUCUUUUAAUGGUUUGAAGUAUGAGGGAAAUUUUGUCACUUAUAUUAAUUUAUAUUCAAUAUCAAUCCCAGAUAUUUACAGUCUGUAAUUUCAGUAAUUUUAACCUAAUUUAUAUCAUAUUUUUGUUUGUUAAUAUCACUGUUUUUUUGGGUUUUUGAUAAGUUUGUUAUGACACAGCCAUUUAUAAUACAUAUACAUUUAGACCACUUUCUAGGUGUUUGGUACUUUCAACUGAGAAAACUAACAUUUUAUCACAUGCAAACAUAAAAGAAUUUGCCUUUAAAUCAUAAGACUAGGCUACGUCCUUAACAAACGCACUGUCAUCUAAAUGCCGUUUUUAUCAAUUGUAUAUGAACCCUGUCAAAAGCUAUUGAGGUUCUUACUUAAAAAUUUUCUGUUCAGUUGCCCCUGGUAUACAAAUUGCAGCGUGCUAGUGCAAAAUGGCGGCUUCUAAUUGGCCAAAAAGGCUCGUUGCCGUGGCAACCAUAGCCCUCAACAUCGAAUACCAGGGUCACUCGUAAAAUGCUUCUAUUUUAAUGAUUGUCAGGAUAACUUUUGCACAAAACGUUUUAUUUGUUUCCACAAGUGAAUGUACUUAAUUAUUUUUGCUACUAAUUUUGAAAAUGUGUUUAAUAGGAAUACCUUGUCCUCUAGUUGUUUAGUUCUUCAUGUUUAUCACUCCUUAGUACCGAUUAUCAAGGUUCUUAUUAAUUGUCUUAGCUUUCCAAGGACUUUACUGCAUUAAAAGUCAAAUAACUCAGAAAGUUGUUAAACUAUUAGUACACAGUUUUCACAGAAAUAUUCAAAAAUGUUUAUUCUACGACUAUUUAUAAUAACUCAAAACGCUUUGACAAAAAGUUUUUCAGUUAUUUGUGUCGGUUUUACUUCAAUGAAAGUUAAAUAAAAUUUUCUGUUCAGUUGCCCCUGGUAUACAAAUUGCAGCGUGCUAGUGCAAAAUGGUGGCUACUAAUUGGCCAAAGAGGCUCGUUGCCGUGGCAACCAUAGCCCUCAACAUCAAAUACGAGGGUCAUUCGUAAAAUGCUUUGAUUUUAAUGAUUGUGAGGAUAACUUUUGCACAAAACGUUUUAUUUGUUUCCACAAGUGAAUGUGCUUAAUUAUUUUUUCUGCUAAUUUUGAAAAUGUGUUUAAUAGGAAUAUCUUGUACUCUAGUUGUUUAGUUCUUCAUGUUUAUUACUCCUUAGUACCAAUUAUCAAGGUUCUUAUUAAUUGUCUUAGCUCUCCAAGGACUUUACUGCAUUAAAAGUCAAAUAACUCAGAAAGUUGUUAAACUAUUAGUACACAGUUUUCACAGAAAUAUUCAAAAAUGUUUAUUCUACGAUUUUUAAUAAUAACUCAAAACGCUUUGACAAAAAGUUUUUCAGUUAUUUGUGUCGGUUUUACUUAAGUAAAGGAUAAGUAAAAUUUUCUGUUCAGUUGCCCCUGGUAUACAAAUUGCAGUGUGCUAGUGCAAAAUGGCGGCUUCUAAUUGGCCAAAAAGGCUCGUUGCCGUGGCAACCAUAGCCCUCAACAUCGAAUACGAGGGUCAUUCGUAAAAUGCUUCUAUUUUAAUGAUUAUGAGGAUAACUUUUGCACAAAACGUUUUAUUUGUUUCCACAAGUGAAUGUACUUAAUAAUAUUUUCUACUAAUUUUGAAAAUGUGUUUAAUAGGAAUAUCUUGUCCUCUAGUUGUUUAGUUGUUCAUGUUUAUCACUCCUUAGUACCAAUUAUCAAGGUUCUUAUUAAUUGUCUUAGCUUUCCAAGGACUUUACUGCAUUAAAAGUCAAAUAACUCAGAAAAAAGUUGUUAAACUAUUAGUACACAGUUUUCACAGAAAUAUUCAAAAAUGUUUAUUCUACGAUUUUUAAUAAUAACUCAAAACGCUUUGACAAAAAGUUUUUCAGUUAUUUGUGUCGGUUUUACUUAAGUAAAGGAUAAGUAAAAUUUUCUGUUCAGUUGCCCCUGGUAUACAAAUUGCAGUGUGCUAGUGCAAAAUGGCGGCUUCUAAUUGGCCAAAAAGGCUCGUUGCCGUGGCAACCAUAGCCCUCAACAUCGAAUACGAGGGUCAUUCGUAAAAUGCUUCUAUUUUAAUGAUUAUGAGGAUAACUUUUGCACAAAACGUUUUAUUUGUUUCCACAAGUGAAUGUACUUAAUAAUAUUUUCUACUAAUUUUGAAAAUGUGUUUAAUAGGAAUAUCUUGUCCUCUAGUUGUUUAGUUGUUCAUGUUUAUCACUCCUUAGUACCAAUUAUCAAGGUUCUUAUUAAUUGUCUUAGCUUUCCAAGGACUUUACUGCAUUAAAAGUCAAAUAACUCAGAAAGUUGUUCAACUAUUAGUACACUGUUUUCACACAAAUAUUCAAAAAUGUUUAUUCUACGAUUAUUUAUAAUAACUCAAAACGCUUUGACAAGAAGUUUUUCAUUUAUUUGUGUCGGUUUUACUUCAAUGAAAGUUAAAUAAAAUUUUCUGUUCAGUUGCCCCUGGUAUACAAAUUGCAGCGUGCUAGUGCAAAAUGGUGGCUGCUAAUUGGCCAAAGAGGCUCGUUGCCGUGGCAACCAUAGCCCUCAACAUCAAAUACGAGGGUCAUUCGUAAAAUGCUUUGAUUUUAAUGAUUGUGAGGAUAACUUUUGAACCAAACGUUUUAUUUGUUUUCACAAGUGAAUGUACUUAAUUAAUUGUAGUUGUUUAGUUCAUCAUGUUUUCCACUUUUGCAUAUGGGAAUAAUUUCGGCCAUUUUAGCUGCCCUGAAAAGGUACCUGUAACUCAAAAGGCUUUGACAAGAAGUUCUUACUUGAGAUUUUUCAGUUAUUUGUGUCAAUUUUCCAAGGAUCUGACUGCACUAAAAAUCAAAUUACUUAGAAAGUGGUUGAGUUAUUUGCAUACUAUUGUCUAUUGUUUGUUUCUUCUUCCUUAAAUUUUACAUUUUUUGGUUUUCAAUGUUCACUGACAGUUUUUUCUUACAUUAGCAAAAUAUUUAUUUACUUCUUGUACUAUACACUUCAAUUGUUCACAAUUUGUGGUUUACUGUACUACCACUGACUUCUUCCAGUUUUUUUUUGCAAAUCCCUAAAGGCUUUUUCUGCGUGCUCGUUUUCAUCUGACACAUAAUUCAUCUCCCUUCUUAUUAAAUGUUUUGAUUAUUAACUCGAAA